rnacentral:lncRNA from 1 species
UGAUCAGAUUUACAAUGUUAUUGUUACCACCCACGCAUUCAUCAUUAUUUUCUCUAUGGUGACACCAAUCAUAAUUGGAGGAUUUGGUAACUGGCUAGUCCCUCUGAUAAUUGGUGCACGCAAUAUGGCAUUUCCCCAGAUAAAUAAUAUGAGCUUCUGACUCCUCCCCACCAUUUUCCUACUCCUACUUGCAUCCUCAAUAGUAGAAGCUGGUGCUGGGACCAGCUGAACAGUUUAUCCCUCUUUAGCAGGGAACCUAAUACAUGCAGGAGCCUCCUGUGGAUCUAACCAUCUUCUCACUCCACUUGGCAGGUGUUUCUUCUAUUUUAGGGGCCAUUAACUUUAUUACUACGAUUAUUAAUAUAAAACCCCCAGCUUUAUCCCAAUAUCAAACACCCCUUUCUUCUGAUCAGUCCUCAUUACCAUAGUCCUUCUACUCCUCUCUCUUCCU